UUGAACGCUGGCGGCAUGCCUUACACAUGCAAGUCGAACGGUAACAGGGAGCUUGCUCCGCUGACGAGUGGCGAACGGGUGAGUAAUGUAUCGGAACGUACCAUUGAGUGGGGGAUAACGUAGCGAAAGUUACGCUAAUACCGCAUAUUCUCUCCGGAGGAAAGCAGGGGACCGCAAGGCCUUGCGCUCUUUGAGCGGCCGAUCUCAGAUUAGCUAGUUGGUGGGGUAAAAGCUCACCAAGGCGACGAUCUGUAGCGGGUCUGAGAGGAUGAUCCGCCACACUGGAACUGAGACACGGUCCAGACUCCUACGGGAGGCAGCAGUGGGGAAUUUUGGACAAUGGGGGCAACCCUGAUCCAGCCAUUCCGCGUGAGUGAAGAAGGCCUUCGGGUUGUAAAGCUCUUUCAGCCGGAACGAAACGGUACGCUCUAACAUAGCGUGUUAAUGACGGUACCGGCAGAAGAAGCACCGGCUAACUACGU
rnacentral:rRNA from 1 species